rnacentral:piRNA from 2 species
UGAAUCAAAGAUGAUGCAAAUGAUGCUGGGU